GUCUUCGUUUUGUAGCCAAGGAUGACUUGCCUGCGGCCUGGCAGGAGCUCCAAAAACUGAAAUACCAAUAGAAAAGUAGAGACGACUGACUCUCUUCUGGGAUCAAGAAGGCCAACUGAUGAUUGGUGAGUACCAAAUACUGCACACAAUCAUGAAAAGUGACAAAAGGCUCUUGAAUCCUUGAAUGGUACACAGGCAGUCUCCUUGGCUAACGAGACAGGAUCC
rnacentral:pre_miRNA from 2 species